AUCUCUUCUAAGCCUUUUGGCUAAGAUCAAAAUGUAGUAUCUGUGCUUAUAACUCUCUCUUGCAGCACCCUGUUUAUUAAUUUAUAGGUAAAAAGUAAUUAAAACUAGAGAGCGAUGAUCGGAAUCUUU
rnacentral:snRNA from 1 species